rnacentral:rRNA from 1 species
AUUGAACGCUGGCGGAAUGCUUUACACAUGCAAGUCGAGCGGCAGCGCGGCCUUCGGGCUGGCGGCGAGCGGCGAACGGGUGAGUAAUGCAUCGGAACAUGCCCAGUCGUGGGGGAUAACACUUCGAAAGAAGUGCUAAUACCGCAUACGUCCUGAUGGGGAAAGCGGGGGAUCGCAAGACCUCGCGCGAUUGGAGUGGCCGAUGUCAGAUUAGCUAGUUGGUGGGGUAAAGGCCUACCAAGGCGACGAUCUGUAGCUGGUCUGAGAGGAUGAUCAGCCACACUGGGACUGAGACACGGCCCAGACUCCUACGGGAGGCAGCAGUGGGGAAUUUUGGACAAUGGGGGCAACCCUGAUCCAGCCAUGCCGCGUGAGUGAAGAAGGCCUUCGGGUUGUAAAGCUCUUUCGGCAGGAACGAAACGGUGGGCUCUAACAUAGUCCGCUAAUGACGGUACCUGAAGAAGAAGCACCGGCUAACUACGUG